AAUCACCCAACACCACGGGUGACUGAUGCAGGAGGGAUUAUCCACACUCACCUGCUUAGUCAGUGGAUUAAAUGAGCAACUGGGUGAACAAUGGACUUCAGAAGAGAAACAAAUGAGCCAGAAUAGAAACGUGGGUGUUCUGGAGAGAUCGGGAGACUGCGAGGAGAGCCGAGGGUCCAGCGGCAGGCUGGCAACCCCAGCCAGUGGGGCGCGUGUGGGUGGGAGAGAAAGUGGUGUCUGCCCCACACACCCCAGCCCUAGCCCCGGCAUCUUCAAUGUGGCAAUGUGCCACGCCUCGCUCCACCGUGAACCAAGUAUGUGCCAGCGUGGUGCUGGGUCAAGGGCACUGACGGAGAAGACACAGCCCUUGGUACCUCCUCACCCUGCCGAACCUCUCUCCUCUCUCCCAUGAGGCCAGGAUGUGCGACCUCCCUCCUCUCUGCUGCUGGGUGUGUGACUUCUCUCCCUCCCACUAGGGCUCAUUAUGUGAUUUGCCCCCUCGGAAGCCCCUGUUGGCGUCUAAUCCCCACUGUGAGCUACUGAGAGGCUGGAGAUGUCCUCCACCUCUGGGGGCCGGAGCCAGACUACGAGACACCCUGAUCCGCCCCCAGACUUGGCCAGAAAGGAGGCCAUCUCUAGAUGUGAACCCUCCGCCCUUGGACCUUCAGAACAUUACGUCACAAUCAGAUUCUUUCUUUAUAACUUCUCCACUUCGUGGAUUUGUGUUAGCAACAGGAAGCCAUCUAAUGCACGUUCCCUGUCCCUCUCCCUCCUCUCAGCCUGCCACAAGGAGAGAGGAGGUGAUGGCAGAUCUGAGGUUGAUGGCAGCCACUUUGAGCCGAGUGAUUGCCAGUCAUCUCCCUUAAUGACCCCACUGACAUGGGGAAGCAGGGACCAUUUCAAUGAAGAGAUGGAGGCUCAGAGAGUUUCUGUGGGCGCAGGGCUCCAGGAAAAUACCUGUCUCCCCACCUAUGCAAAGAAGUGUCCAGACGAGCCGAACUCCGCCAUCCUGCUGCAAACGGGCCGGCGUGGGUUCUGCCCUCAGCCUCGCCUUCCCGCCCGCAUAGCCCUGCGCAGGCUCUGAGCCUUGGCCUCUUCCUCCGCGAAGUGAGGGUGGACACUGACCCAGUACUAUCUGAGGGCCCACAGGUGAGCAUGGGACACGCAACUCAGAGUCGCUCUGUGCCCGCAGCUGUCAGGUCAGACCGUGUCGCCCUGUGAGCCAGCGCCCGCCCUGGCUCAUCUGCGAUGCGUACAGAAACACAGGUCUUCCACCCAACACGCAUGGACCGUUGUGUUCAGUAAUAGAUUGAACAAGCUUCUCCCUCACAGCCAUGGGCCCCGGCCCCUGACUGUUUGCUUUCUAGAGAGAGUCCUCGGCCCUCCUUGGAGAAUACUAACGCGGCUGUCUGAGCCCCAGCCGGCUCUGGUGGAGCCACGUGGCCUCAGCCCUGCAGAGGACUUACGGGUACCAGUGGGUCCCACGGGGCCUUCCCCAUGUCCUGGUUCUCUCCUUCACGCCCGAGAACAUAGGCAUGCAGAGCCUUGGGGCUUCUCACACACCACCGGCACAGAGCGAAGUCCAGCGUGCCUAUUUCGUAUUUGAGGCUAGAAGUCAAGCACUUAUAUCAAGGCCACAUACUUUUUGCCAAUCCCUGAAUCUCCAAGUUGGAGCUGAGUGUGCCACAUCAAACACGUCUCCUGUCAUUCCACAUAGACAGUCACGUGUCACUUAACAA
rnacentral:lncRNA from 1 species